rnacentral:rRNA from 1 species
UAGGGAAUCUUCCGCUUUUGGACGCAAGUCUGACGGAGCAACGCCGCGUGAGUGAAGAAGGUUUUCGGAUCGUAAAACUCUGUUGUUAGAGAAGAACAAGUGCUAGAGUAACUGUUAGCGCCUUGACGGUAUCUAACCAGAAAGCCACGGCUAACUACGUGCCAGCAGCCGCGGUAAUACGUAGGUGGCAAGCGUUGUCCGGAUUUAUUGGGCGUAAAGCGAGCGCAGGCGGUUCCUUAAGUCUGAUGUGAAAGCCCCCGGCUCAACCGGGGAGGGUCAUUGGAAACUGGGGAACUUGAGUGCAGAAGAGGAGAGUGGAAUUCCAUGUGUAGCGGUGAAAUGCGUAGAUAUAUGGAGGAACACCAGUGGCGAAGGCGACUCUCUGGUCUGUAACUGACGCUGAGGCUCGAAAGCGUGGGUAGCAAACAGGAUUAGAUACCCUGGUAGUCCACGCCGUAAACGAUGAGUGCUAAGUGUUGGAGGGUUUCCGCCCUUCAGUGCUGCAGUUAACGCAUUAAGCACUCCGCCUGGGGAGUACGACCGCAAGGUUG